GAGGAGGGAAGCAUGAAGCAGAAGGAUCCUGGGGAGAGAGAAUUGUUGCUGUAAGGGCAGCCUGGAGCUUGUUGCAACCUGCAGUCAUAGUCUAGCUAGGUAAAAGCCUGCAGUCAGAGUCUGCAAACUAAUACCUGCAGUCACAGUUUAGCAGGAAAUAACCAGCAGUCAGAGGCUGCAAGGGAAACCUACAGUAGGAGCUUGCUGCAGCCAGAGUCAGUGAAUAGUUGGAGUGAGCAUGGCUAAUAAACCAAGAGCCUUUUCAUGCUGCGAUGAAAAAGAACUCUGUGCUUGCCUUGGCUCAUUUCUACCCUCUCUAACAAGAGGGCUGCUGCAACAGACCUCUCUGAAGGUGCUAUGGGAAUGAAAAAAUUAUAUGAGAACCCUCUGUACUGGAUGUUCUCUGCACUUUGAGAAAUAGAGUCUGCCUUCUCUGUCCCCACCAUCUGGAACAGCAAUGUGCCUCGUUUGAAAAUGGGUUAGAGAAGAAAGCACAGAGGAUUUGAAAACUGGAGAUGGACUGCUGUCCUGUACAUGUUUUCUGAGGAGUCCAGAAACACCAUGAGGGUACUGACAGGACGAUGUAAGAUACCUUUAACCAAAGGACUUCAACCCCUACCAUAUCAUGCUCUCUUCAUACUCAGACUGGGUACAGUUUUAGCCUGUUGCUGGGUAUAACAAGGAUAGUCAGUAGGGUCUAAUUUCGCUAAUAUGGGUCACUAUGAGGAAUCAAAUCCUUGAGUGGGACAGUCAGUGUCUAGAUGGCGAGAAGAGCUUCUGCUGCACAAGUCCUCAUGGUGGUGUUGGCUAGACCACAUGAGGCCCUGGGACCUGCAUUAUUGCUCAGAUCCUACACACAGCUGUCUCAUGUGCCUUGGGACUGUUCCGGUGCAUGCAUGAUCUAUCCCUGGUGAUUGUCUGGAGCUACAAAACAUCUUCUGCCUCCCUGAAUUGUGUACGUGAGUCUAUUCUGCAUGAUCGUUUUUGCAUCUGCAGGAAGUUUCUUCUGACUAUGGACAAGUGGCUGGCCACUUACAAGUUAUUCGUCAGCAUACUGAAACAUAAACUUGUCUAGGCACAGUGUGUCCUGCCUGGAGGAAUCCACAGAACCAUCCAAAUUCUACACGGAGAGUGCUGUUUAGUCAAAUACUUAAGUGAGAAUGAGAAGUAGAAGUUGAGGUGAUCAGCUUGUCUCCAGUUGGUUGAUGGUUUCAAGUCAAUCUAAUGUAGCAUCUCUGCAGAUGCCUACGUGCAGAGUUUCUGGAUCUCCCAAGGAAAGAGAUGUCCUUCUCUAUGUUAUGAUAACAACAAAUUUAGUCCAUUAUAAAAUUGUCCCUAAAGAGCAAUGAAAUGUCCCUAAUGAAUCAAAAACAGAGGGAAACUAAUGGCACAUGUUCUCACUUCUUACCCUGCUAGAGAGCAUCUGUGAAUCAUAUUAAAAAGUAUGUGCUCCUAUCAUCAAAUGCUAAUAAGUAAUUUUAAAAAUGUCCAAGGACUAAAGCAAGCAUCUGAGAUGCCACUUUGGACAAUAGUGGCAAAACCAGUGUAUGCCUUAAGAGUAAUGUUGAGGUGGUGAAAUAAGAAUGUCUGUCAUACUUUUUCCACUCCAAAGCACACCUAUCUGACAUUCAGAUUAUGAAGCAUUUCUCCAUAUAACCUUAUAAACACGAAGGAGUGUAAAAGGUCAGGAGUGAAAAUUAUUUUCCUGGUUAAAAACACCUCAGGUGAUAUUUGGCUUAGAUGUAACAUUUAUAAUAUUUGCUAAUUUCUCAACAAAAAAGUGGGCUAUCAAGAAAAUAGCAUUUCCAAAGGAGCAGUGUUUAAAAUCUAACCCACAAAUGUAAAUUUAAAAAAAAAACAAACCAAAGCCCCAAGCCCAGGAAUAUGCAGAAGAUUGUAGACAAAACUUUAUAGUUUUAUCCCCACAUUAUGCUAAAACACAAUGACAUUUUUUCAGCUCAGAGUGCAGAGAUUCUAUUACUUAAACUUAACUACUGAGAUGUAAUGUUUCCUCCUUGUAUGCAUUGCAAUCAGGCAGGUGUGCAAGCUUUAGCUUGUCCUUGAGGGUGAUUUGCAUGGCCACAGCAUGGAGCUUUCCCAGUAACUCUGCAGCCUGGGAAGCCCUGUGCUGGAACUCUAGCUAACAGCCACUUGGAGUGAGGGCACAGAUGUGGAUCUGUUACUUUUCAGUAAAUACUUCAGGCCUGAUCCAAACUCCACUAAAGCAAUGAAAGCCACCUCUUGGUGUCAGCAAGCUUUAGGUGAGGUUAUAUAACUCUCACAGUUGCUGCUUUGACUUUGGAUCCUCCCAGUAAUGGUAACCAGUGAGUUGGAAGAGAUUCUGUUCUUAUCUACUAAUGUCAUAAGAGGCUUGUAACUGGGGUCAAGCUCCAAAUAAAUCUCUAAAUCUAUUUUUUAACAAUUCAGAUAUAUUUGGGGCUGCAACAAACUCCCACUGAAGCCUGUGGCAGUUCACUGUCAACUGAAAUAUGAACAGGAAACUUGAUGCUCGUGCUUCUUCCUUUUCAUUGACAAAUGUGACAAGCAGGCUUUCUGCAUCAAGCAGUGUGCUAUUUUAGACAGAGAAGAAUUCUAAUAUAUGUUAAUGAACUCGCCCACACAUAUGCACAUGCUUAAGGCAUAGUUGUCAGAUUGCCCAUUUACUAGGUUAAGAGCAAGAGCUCCUCGAAAGUUAUUUUGUGUUAUUGGAGAUUUGGCAUAUUGUAGUGGGGUGGCAGAAAUGGUUGAGAGUUUGUGGCUGCAAGACAAAGGUUAGCAGAAAGGACACUAACAGCACGUGGAACAAACCAGUUUUUUAUGUCACUGCUGUGCCCGAGUCUGCUAAAGGCUUCAAUGGAUAAAGUUGCAAGUGAAAGUGUUACCCUGAAACGAUCAGCUCUGGGACGCUUUCAUGUCAAAUGCCCGGAAACUGAGUACAUUGGCUUGUUUUAGUUAAUUUAUUUUUCCAGGGAAGCAGCAGCUCAGAGGAGCCACGUUCAUCUAUCCAGCUUAAAGCAUUGCUUUACAUUUCAAAAGGAAUGGCUGAAAGGGUAUCACAAUGUGCAGGUAACAGGUAAUUGUGCCUUGAUCAUGUCACCUGUAACAGGUAUUUUUCUACCAAUGCCUUAGAUGUCUUCUGCUCCUUUCUCUUUGGUAUUCAGUUCUGCCCAGUUGGUCAUCAUAUGAGACCACCCUCUGCAAAAACUUCCUGCACUAAAGUCUUUCCCUGAGUAAAAUCUGACUUUCCUGUUAGAAACCUAGUUAUUUGGGGCUUCAGUGGGAUUUGUGUGGGUUUUGUUGUUGUGUUUGUUUGUUUUUUAGAGAGAUACCCUAUAUCCUCUCUGGAAGAAAGAAUUUCUUUAGUUUGGAUUUUAUCACAAGAGACUUCAUUGAAAAUGUCACUUUAACAUGUAAUUAGCAGGAUCGCUGUCAUUAUUUCUCCUGUAAUAAGGGAAAGAUGUGAAAGAAUUCUUUACCAGUUGCAUAGGAAAAGCAACAAAAGCAACCUGUGGUUUCUGUCCAACUGAUUAUGUGGAUGCUAUGACAGUGGAGCAGUAUGAAUGUAAGUAUGGAUAAAAUUUCAUCCCAUGUUGAGUCCUUCACAAACUAGGUCACUGCAAGCUGCAAUUAAGUUAAAUCAGUGUCAGGAUCUUCUCCUUUGCACAGCACAAGCUGUCAGCAUCCCUUGUAUUGUCUUCUGUGGCAGCUGGGGAGGGCCUCAGUGGAUGUAUGUCAGUCACAUUGACUGAUCGGUUCUCUUGGAAGAAAAACCAACAUAAAACCCCACAGGCUUCUCUAGUGCUGGGAUUUUUACUGCCACCUCAACCCUGGUUUUGCUGGCUCUGAUGUCAAAGUACCUGCUUCUAGUUAUUUUUAUGCUGCUUGUUUAUUUUAAAACAAUGACAUUUUAAAAAAAUAUCAUUCAUCCUAAUGUUUUACAAACCUCUCUACUAUGCAGUGAAACUGGUGCCUGUAAGCAGUUUACUCUGCUCACUCCCAUUAUCUCCUCCCGAGCACUUGGUUGUAUUGUGCUUAAUUAUGAAUGGCCUCCAAGAAGCCCGUUUUACUGUACUAUGAAGUGACUCAUAUCACACAGAAGCUCCGACAACUCGCACUGGGUACUGGAGGCACAUGGUGCUGUAUUAGCCAGUGACUCAUUUCACAUUGUACUCGGUGCUGAGAUCUGACUCACACCGAGCUGUGUGAGAAGCUGACUGACAUUGUACUGGUCUGAAAGCUGGUUUGAAUCGGGAUGACUCACCCUGGAGUUCAUUAAGCGGUGAUUCACACGCUGUUUCCUAUUGAUUCCGACUGUCGCGAUUCACUUCGGAUUGUACUACGCUGGCAUCUGGCUGCUCUGCAGGGCAGGCGCUGUGAUAGAUAGCAACCCUCUGCCUGGUGAGCUCGGCUGUAGCGCCAGCAGGCAGUGUCAGCCAGCAGGAGUAGUACCAAAGUCAAUUUAAUGCUGAACGAAGGGCAGAGUAUGGUUUAGUACACAUUCACUUUGGCCAUGACGCUUUCUGGGCUUCUUUGCUUCACCUGGCUUUGAAAACAGCAAGUGAGGAGUAACGAACCUCUAGCUAAGAAUCCUCCUACUUCUGAAUGCCAGAUCUCCAGAGUAUUUCUGAGACUUGCCGUCUCCUUUGUCACUUUUCUUAGUGAAAAAAAGAUGGGAUGAAUUUCUGUGAGAGACUGAGUACUGAUAGUUGCUGAUAUGCUUCAAGUUCAUCAACAUUUGACCUGAGCUCCAGGAGACACAGGCACCCUGCAGCCUGAAAACUCCUUCCUGGUACUUUAAACUCAGUCCUCAGACAUCACUGCUCACUCUGAAAUAUGUUCACUGCACUAAGCAGGGGGUAGAGAGGCAUGCAACAGCUUAGGUAAUGCUUCUAUGAUUAAAUAUUUGGGACCUACAGUAAAGGUAUCAAAGUAAGUAUUGAUGUGUGGAGGAGAUAAAAAAUUAAAGGCAAAAUAAAGUAACUGUUCUCUCACCUUUGAGUGUUUUAUAAAGCACAGUUUUACAUUCAGUUGGCUCUGAGUUUAGAGAGAUGCUCCUAAUUUCAACAUGACGUUCCUAAUUUUAGGAACCACAACUAGGAAUCUCCUAGCAGAUUAUGAUGCCGGUGUUCCAUUUAGUCGAACUGGUGUACCUCUUCUGGUCCUGUAAUACAGCAGUGGUGUAGCUACCUCCACAGCCCAUAGCUCUGCAGAGCACUGGAUUCGAUGCUGACAUUCUGUUUGUGCAACAGAGGUACAAGGAGAUCCCUUGCCAUUACAUCAUAACGACCAGUGUCAGAUGAAAAGUUAUCGCUUUAUGUUUUUCAACAGCAAAAAUGAAAUAAUGGAACGGUUGCAUCAUGUAAAUUACACUGCAAUUAAAUUACUGUAGGUUCUUA